rnacentral:lncRNA from 15 species
AAAAUAGUGACUGUCCACUUGGAUAACCAGGAAAUGGACAGAGGAGAGACUGAUUCAAGUUGCAAAAUAUAUGAAAACAUUUUAACCAAAGAAUCAACAUAACAGAGCUGUGUAAUAUUUGGAUGUUCUUUACAUACUGAGAGUGUAGCUGCUGAUGGUAGCUGGCCUUCAGUUCUUUAAGAUAUCUAACAUUAUUACAAUUUGUGUGUUAAUGUUUUUGUGUAAUAUAUUUGAUAUGGGGCUCUUCAUGUGAACACGACCCUGGAACAGUUAGCAUAGCACAUGAUGUACAACUCUCACCAAGCACAAUGACCAGAGCAAGCAGUGGUUGAUAGUGUUUGGACUCUCAGUGGAUUCAGCUCAAACUGUAGUCUGAAAACACAACCUGGUGUUUGAUGGUCUAUAACCUUACUAAUGAUUACGCAUAUAACAUGAGAAGUUUUUCAGGACAAUUUUGUGUCUUUGAAUUUCACCAAACCAGACACUUAAGUUGUUUUAAAGUCACUAAAAUAUUACCAGCCUGAAUGUUUCUGUCUGUAUUUAUUCAUUUGCUGCUGUUUUACCUUUUAGAGUUUUAAUAUGAAAGCUGAAGCUCCUGUUGCAGCACUUCUUUUACAGGAAAGUUCACACCAGCUUGUAGCUGUGAGAGUUUGAGGUUUAUGUUACAGAGAAGAGAGCAAAGAGGUCUGUGUGUCUUCCUUCAGUACAGGAUGUCGUACACCGCCAGCACAGAGUUGCACUUUUGUUUAGAUGUCUCGACCAAUAUGGAUAGAUGGAAACUGUGGUUCGUUGUCCUUCUGAUGCUAGCUUUCUAUAUUGACAGCACAGAAACUCUUGUGAAGCUCGUGAAAACCAUUGGGAGCAAACCAUAUAUCGCUCCAAUAUGCCCCAAUGAAACACUGCAUAUCGUCAUACUUGUAGUUUGUAAGAUCAGAACAGAAAUGAGGGGAGAAGAGUGUCGUCUGCUGUAUCAACAUGGACAAGACUUUGAGCAAGACUGUGACUCCAGAUUCACACUUACGACGGAUAAUCGGACUCUGUUCCUCCAGCUGACCGGUUUAAUAGCAAAGGAUAGUGGGAACUUCACCUGUGAGUGUUCACAUGCUCGUGGAACGGAUACUCUGCAUCUCAUCCUCACCGUUCUCCAUCUGAAAAUCACAGUGAAAGAAGAUGAAGACGCUAGCAGUUUAAGACAAAUGCCAAUUCACAGUGUUUUGAUUGGUGUAACAAUAGUCAUCAUUAUAACUGGAGUUAUUCUGGGAAUAAUCUACAGGACAAAAACUAACAGAAACUGUUCAAGGUCAGCAACAUCUGGAUUAUCUGUGUGUGAAUCUCCUGGCUCUCUGGACCAAGAUGACCCUGAUGACCUCUACACAAGCCUUCAGCAACCAGAAAGUGAUCUCUACCAAACUAUCUCAAAUCCAGCCAACAAAAUAGUGACUGUCCACUUGGAUAACCAGGAAAUAAACGGAGGAAAGACUGAUUCAAGUUACAAAAUAUAUGAAAACAUUUUAACCAAAGAAUCAAUAUGACAGAGCUGUGUAAUAUGUGGAUGUUCUUUACUUAUUGAGACUGUAGCUGCUGAUAGUUGCUGGCCUUCAGUUCUUUAACAUAUCCAAACUAAUUACAAUUUCCUGUAAUGUGAUGACAGUAACUGUUUUAUAGUUGAUAUACAGGAAAUAAACUCUCCUCAGCAGAAGAACAGGGCUCAGAGAAGAUGCUGUGUUUGGCCAGAAGGGUGUUUAAUACAUUGUGGUAUCAGUCAGAGUAUCUUACACAGAACAGCUUCUUAAUGUAAAAAUAAACACUGUGGCUUGUGUUUAAACUGGAUAAUGACUGCAUGCUGUUUCUUUAUCAGUUUUCUUGUCACAUUCUUUAAGAUGUUGUGUUAUUAUUGCAUGUGUCAUCUAUCAGAUAGGAUGAGUAUUCUCCAAUAACAGAUCAUAUUUAACCUCAACUCCUCCGAUUCCUUUAAGUUGUUGCUCUGUUUGGCCAGUUUGUUAAUUAAAGCUCUGUAUAAAACUAUUGUAGUGGUCGACAAGUGUAGAAAUGUAAUAAAAUAAAUAAAAUAUAGUGUCUUUUGAAGGACCAUUUUCAUUAUUUAACACAGAUAUCUAUAAUCUCACAAUAAUUUCCAGAUAAUGUCCUUAAAACUAUACAAAGAGAAGAGUUUGAGUCUUUUGGCCAUGAUUUGUACAACUUGGAUUAUCAGCG